GUUCCCUGAUGCAACUUGCAACUGAGCUGAAAUAUGAUAACUGUUCAUCUGGACUCAUUGUGGCACUUCCCUUUCAGAGCAAAGAAACAAAAUGAACGAAAACAGUUAUUUUACAGAGGUGGAAUGUGUAUUCCUUAUCUACAGGGACUGCAUCGACUUACAGAAUAUGGUGCAGCCAUUGCUCAGUAAGGGCCAUCUUAGCAACAGAAAUGUAAAUAGCAUUGAGUGCAGAACGCAGCGACCUGGGCAAAGGCACUGUCUUCUUUAAAGUCACUGCUCUGUAACUUCUGGCUCUGAAGGAAAACCGUCUCAAAUUCCUGAAAGGUUCUUAGAGUUCAGCCAGAUACAGGGCUGAAUAGAGACACUUACAGAAGGGGGAAAAAUUAAAAAUUAAAGCUUGGAAUUGCCAUGCUUGAGCUGCUCAUUUCAGAACACUCUUUUUUACUUUGUAACUACAAAAACAAAUCAAUAGCAGAAUGGAGCUAAUUCCUUACAAAUUGAGCCCGUCAGUACUUUUCUGCUUUCUCACUCCUCUCCAAUAUUCCAGGCUCCAGGACUACCUGCAAAAUAGAUGACAAAUUCUCAUUUAUCGUAUUUUCACUGAAAUCAUAUCUGAUGGAGGGAAGAUGAACUGGGAACAAUUACUCAUUUCUUAUGAGAAUUCAUGGUGAGAAGUUACAAAGCCAAGAGGCUUCAGUGGCAAUUGGUAGCUGGGUUGCUUAAUGAGGGACCUAGAAAAGGCAAAAACUAUUUUAAAGCACAACAUAGCUCAAACCAAAGUUAUAGGCUUGCAGCUGAAAUUACUGGGUGAGGUUCUUUGGGCUAAGUCAAACUAAAUGGGCUACAUGUAACUAAAUGGGCAUUUCUGGCUUUAAAUCUAUGAAAGUGGUUUGCCUAAAAUAAGAUCAUUGUGGAUCUCAUCUCAAAACUUUGAUCCAAUGCUUUUUAAGGUUCUAAAAGUGUUUACUUGAUGUUUCAUUCACUGUAGUGUUUUACUGGGGCUUCUUGUGUCCAAUAUCCACAUUUUAGGGCACAAUAGGAAGCAAAAGGCAUGAGGCAGAAGUCCUGCUCAGGCCAUAGUGUGAGGCCAUUACCUGCUGCUUGUUCACAUUUCUUGGCAGUUCUACUGUUCUUUUACUGUUUCUAUUUUGAAAUGAUUUAAUGCUUCAAAAUAUCUUUUGGCCUCCUUUAUGAUGGCUUUAUAUUUAACUUGCCAGAAUGUGUGCAGUUCCUGUUUUGGGCAGAAGAAGAAAAUACCAGUAUUCCACCAGUGGAUGUACAGAUGACAUUCACAAAAGGCUCAGCUUACACAGCGCUUUGCUGAGCAAGCACUCUGAGUAUUUCUGACACUGCUGCAUUCUGACAGCGAUCCCAAAGCCACGUUCAAGCAGGAGCUUGCCUGCCGUGCACAUGCCAGCGGCACGCGCCGUGUGGGAUCUGGCCAAUCUGGCUGCAGGGCUGUGCCUGUGCCCCUCGGGUUUCAGUGAGCAAGGCGUGCGUGCCUCAGUGUUGUGCUGAAUCAGGGUCCCGCUGUAUAGAAAGUGCAUCUGCCAUUAAACAUACAUCAUACUUGCUUUUAGUGCUAAGAUUAAGUGCCUUGUCUCCUUCCCUUUCCCAGCUAAACUCCAUUUGUGGUGAGAGUCAUUCAUCUUGAAUUGCUUUAAUGCAGUGUUUAAGUGUGUCAGCGUGGCAACAAAGCAGUUUGCAUUUGGUAUUUCAGUGAGACAUUAAAAAUCCCAUUCACAUUUUUAGUAUGCGUUUCUCUCACAUAAAUUACCACAGCUUGGUUGGCAGGUCCUGAGUGAGUAAUAAGGGUUUUGGCACAAACACAUACCACAGAUCUGCUAAGUAAAGGAAAAUCUUUUGUUUGUUCCUACUUUUAUACCAGAGUCGUGAGGCUUAACUUCUAGCAAAUGUUUUCACUUGUGUUUACUGGCAGUACCUUACUACUCAUUAAGAUAACAGAUCCCCCAAAAUGUAGCAGUGAUGAUACAGAUCCAUCCCCAUGCACCUGUGUGCGUAUGAAGCUGUGGCCACAUGAACCAGUUAUGCAGCAGGCACUUUUUAUGGCAGACUGUAGCAAAAAAAUUGCUCUUUGAUGUCAGAACAACCCCUGAAAGAGAAGCAAGCUGAAUGCAGAUCUUACGUAUGAAAGGAUUGUGUUCUCUUUCUGGUAAGCAAUGAUGGAGUCAUGCUGCAGUCUGCUUGCUUUCUUUCAUUCAUGAUUCUGGGAUGCGGUCACUCAGUGUUUAACAAGUCGUAAUUCUGCAAAGUUCUCCUGUACUGAAGUCCGCAUUGCAAGGUGAGAGGAAUGUCUGUAUACUAGUAUCUCGCCUUGCCAAUUUGCUCCAUUUGUGCUGUAAGGUCAUGAAUUGGAGAACUUAGUUUAGUGUCUAUUUUUAAAGCACUCUUGCAGCGUAGGCCUGACCUGAGCAUUCAGCGGGACUCUUCUACUGACUUUGAAUGGAGCCCUCUGUAAGCGAUGCUUGUCAGGGCUGAUCAGGUAACGUGAGGAAACAGCUGCAAAGUGCCCAGCCUUCAGGAUCUGUGUGUCUCACCCAUUAGCAAGACAUGUCUGUUAGUAACAGCUUGAAGUUACAUUUGCUAAAUAAAUACUGUGCAGUUCUGCAGUUAUAUCAAGUAUUUUGGGUUGUUUCUCUGUUACACUGUAUAAAAUAUUGAUAUUCUCAAACUGAACACUGCAGUAUAUUUGUCAUGAUCCAGGUAUGAGUAAGGAAUUAUACAGAAAUGUGAGAGCUGCACUUUGAAGCUUAUGUGCAAAUGGAUUAAAUCAUAUCUAUGCAACUUGUGAAUAAAUGCAUGAUCUGAAGGAGAAUUUUCAAGAAACCAAGGUAACUCUGCAGCUAAGGAUCUCUAAUGCAUAGGACAGCGUAUUCUGUCUGCUGCUGCUGCUGCUGGCAGUAUUUCAGAGCUGCAGAAUUUGGAUAUUGGACGUGUCUGGAUUCAAACACAAUGGGUUUGUCAGUACAACUGCAGGCCAUGGGGCAGUCCUGUGCUUCAGUGCUGGAGAAUGGGAGCAGCUGGGAGCUGGAAUGAUUAGCCAAAUAAAACGAAGGGGUACGGCUGCUUUCUAGAAAUAAAUUGGGAGUAAACGCGCAAAGUGGAGGGCUAUGGAAGCAAAGGAAGAGAACUGGCACAAGAACAAAUGGGUAUGAAAUGAGUGGGAAUAAAUUUAGGCUGGAUACAUAGAGGUUUCCAAACUUCAAAAGGACAUGAUUUUAGAAAGCUUCCUAAUUAGAAGAGUGCAUGCAAACUCCCAUAGCAUUAUUAUGCACUUGCUAUUUAGGAAUUUAAUUGUGAAAUCCAAGAACUCGUUCCCUACAUGCCCAUUACUUGGUCAAGUUGUGAAAGGCUGUGCUUUAAUAAACGGAGAUUAAAGAAA